AUUGAACGCUGGCGGCAGGCCUAACACAUGCAAGUCGAGCGGUAGAGAGGUGCUUGCAUCUCUUGAGAGCGGCGGACGGGUGAGUAAUGCCUAGGAAUCUGCCUGGUGGUGGGGGAUAACGUUCGGAAACGGACGCUAAUACCGCAUACGUCCUACGGGAGAAAGCGGGGGAUCUUCGGACCUCGCGCCAUUAGAUGAGCCUAGGUCGGAUUAGCUAGUUGGUGAGGUAAUGGCUCACCAAGGCGACGAUCCGUAACUGGUCUGAGAGGAUGAUCAGUCACACUGGAACUGAGACACGGUCCAGACUCCUACGGGAGGCAGCAGUGGGGAAUAUUGGACAAUGGGCGAGAGCCUGAUCCAGCAAUGCCGCGUGAGUGAUGAAGGCCUU
rnacentral:rRNA from 1 species